UUAUUGUGAUUGUAGUGUAGCCAGUUGUGUCUCAGAUUAGCUAAUCGACUAUAUCGUUCAAUUUGCAAGGGACAUGAUCCAAAUGUAUUAAUACCAACUGUUUAAUUAAUACACUUCCUUUUAUGAUAUCGUAAGAAAACUCGAUCUGUGCUUACAUUUUUGGGACGCAAUAAUAAAUACUUGUUCAUCAAAACAUAAUUAAUUGCAUCGCUAUCAGCAACUGUAAAACGUGGAGCCAUCACAGUCUUAGAUGGUUGGAUAAUAAUACGCAAUACGCUUCCUUCAUGUCAUUUAAGCGUAAAUCGCAUAAUUCACAUAUUCUGUGAGAGCUAAAUAUACCGCAAAAGGAUACUCCUUUUAAAAAUAAAUACGUAACGUUCGGUGCAUCUGUGAGAAACAAAUCAUCUUCCUUGAAUACAUACGCCUUUUUGGUCAUGUUAUUCUUACUGACUACCUUCAUGAAUUCAUGCACUUUCACAAAUGAUUUUAAGUCGACCCCUUUGUUUAUCCUCAACAUUCUUUGCAAUUUCGAAUUGAUAGCCCAGAAUCGACGACUUGUGCGGUCAUUUUCUGAAGAUACUUACAGUUAUAAGUGUCAUGUCCUGCGAUAAAGCGGAAAAAGUCGCAUUCAAACUAGCCAAACUGUGUAGCUGUCUACAAGCAGAUAUACAAGACCCAAUUCUGGAAGAAGAGCUUCGUGGAUUGUCUACUUUCAUAAUAGAGCUGAGACCGAAAUUUACCAUGUAUGGUUUUUUCUAUAUAAAUCAGCAAAUGAUACCAGUAUUCAUAUCGGCCCUUACAACUUAUCUUAUUAUAUUAAUUCAGUUUAAAAUUCAAAAAUAAUCUCAUGCUUCAUAGAAAUUCAUAAAAUUUAUUUGUUUUUACUGUAGUUAUUAAAGUGUUCUGGAAUUGAUUGUA
rnacentral:misc_RNA from 1 species